GAGGGUAUAGCUCAGUGGUAGGGUGUGUGCUUAAUAUGCACAGGGUCCUGAGUUCAAUCCCCAGUACUGCCA
rfam:Camelus ferus unplaced genomic scaffold scaffold1532, whole genome shotgun sequence.